UCGUCAGGGAUUUUUCUUAUAAACAACGAAAAUGGCGAAUCAACCACGACACAAUGCACCAGAAGGAAUGGAGCCUUAUGAUUUAGGGGGCCCUGGGGAUUUAGGUGCCCUUAGCAAAGAACAGCAAGAAAAACUGAACAAUUUCAAGAUUAAAACUAGAGUAGACAAUGAAAAAUUCUUAAGAGACCAUCCAGAAGUGGAGUGUCUUCUGGCUGGAUUCUUGGGACAAGUUCUGAUGAAGCGUCCAGAAGACAUCAGAGAGUUUGCUGCAGACUACUUCACCAGCCCAGACCUCCCAUCUGUUGUGGAAAAACAAUUGGAGGAGAGACAGAUGAAACUCAAACAGAACAAUAUUUUAAAGGAAAUUUAGCUUGGCUAGAUGAUAAAGUGUAAUAACAUCAUUGUGAUAUCAAGUUCCUCUAAUGUCUAAUUGUAUUGUUUAAAGGUGAACUGGGGUUAAAGUGUGUACUUUGAAGAACCCAUUCCCCAUCAGCACCCUGCCUGUAACUGAGAGUGGUCCUGCUGUGAGGUACAUGUGGGAUGUCUGUGGGAAUGUCAUACCAUUGGCCCCCUGCCUGUAGUUAUGAGUGGGGCUGUUGUGAGGUACAAGUGGGACGUCUGUGGGAAUGUCAUGCUAUCCGCAUCCUACCUGUAACUAUGAGGGGGGC